AGUAUUUCAUUAUUAUGUAAUUGGUAGAUUAGACAAUAUUAUAAAGAAUAUUUUUAUUUCAGAAAGGAUACUACGAUCAAGCCAUAUCGUCGCCAUUAUCCGAACCUACCCAGGCAGUUAAUACUCAAAGCGCGUUAGACUGUACACACAGUUUUGUCACAGAUGUAAGCGACCAUAAAGGGCAAUGGUUGGGCUAUCUUAGUGAAUGGUGAAAACAUUAUCUGCUCAGUCAGCUUGUAUAUGUUGUGUACGGGUUGUGUGGAUUUUAUACUAACGUGUGAUAUCUUUAUUUGGAAAUAUAACCAUACACGGGCAUUGCAGACUGUGUGUCGUGGAUUGUUUACAUUCACUCCUCAAGACGUGUGUUGUCAACAGGCACGUGUGAGGACUAAUUACAUGUAGGAAAGCAUAACGACUGAGGAUACCACACAAAUAUUAAAACCUCCACUGAAUUUGGAUUGGAUUAAAACCAAGUGAAGUUUAUUUUGGAAUUUACUUUGAGUCUGGAAGAUUAUAAGAUAAAGGUAAG